rnacentral:lncRNA from 1 species
ACAACACUUGAGCUAGUCUUAGAGGCGAGACUAUGAACUAUUUAUUUACCAUUUAUCAUUCCACACGUGCAUAUGAGUUUUCCACUGAAUCGCAUAUUCCAGGAUCAUAGCAGCUAGCAGAGAUUAUAAACUCUUAUUUAUGAAUAUGGAAAUGUAAUAAUACAAAUAUUAUUGCCUUUAGGGCAUAUUUCCAACACUUUGCUAGUGAAGCUGAACCUAGGUUCGAGCCAUUUUUAGUGCAAUUGCGUGAAACACCUAGAAGUGUACUUCAGCGGAGAACCGGCUUUGGUAGUGAAGCAAAUCCACAUGUGAUUUAAAUGAGUAAAUAGUAUAGAACUACAACAUUUGAGGCUAGGGUUCCAAAAAACUACGACUUCCUUUAAUUUCUCAAAAAGCUACCAUAGAAUUGGUUGUUUGUUCCAAAAAACUCUAAUGACUAGAUGAUUAAGAUUUAGUCCGGAUUAUACAUGUAGGACCCACUCCAAUACAAACCAUUUGUUGAUUGCUUGUUUGACCGUUAUAUGACAUGUGGGUCACGUGUCAGCUCUUGAUGUCUACUACGCAACCUUCUUCUUGUAGACUCAUGUUGGGCCUCCAAGCAUAGAGUUUUGUAGGACAGUAGCAAAUUUCCCUCAAGUGGAUGACCUAAGUUUUAUCAAAACAUGGGAGGCAUAGGAUGAAGAUGGUCUCUCUCAAACAACCCUACAACCAAAUAACAAAGAGUCUCUUGUGUCCCCAACACACCCAAUACAAUGGUAAAUUCUAUAGGUGCACUAGUUCGGCGAAGAGAUGGUGAUACAAGUGUAAUAUGGAUGGUAAAUAUAGGUUUUUAUAAUCUAAAAAUAUAAAAACAGCAAGGUAGCAAGUAACAAAAGUGAGCAAAAACGGUAUUGCAAUGCUUGAAAACAAGGCCUAUGGUUCAUACUUUCACUAGUGUAAAUUCUCUCAACAAUGAUAACAUAAUUAAAUCAUAUGGCAAUCCCUCAACGUGCGACAAAGAAUCACUCCAAAAUUUCUAUCGGAGAACAUAGGAUGGAAACGUGCAUCAACCCCUAUGCAUAGAUUACCCCGAUGUCACCUCGAGAAUCCGCGAGUUGAGUGCCAAAACAUACAUCAAGUGAAUCAACAGAACAUCACAUUAUCACCACAGAUAUCCCAUCACAAGACAUACAUCAAGUGUUCUCAAAUCCAAUACUCAAUCCAACAUAACGAAACCUCAAAGAGCAAGACUCAAUUCAUCACAAGAAGGUGAGAGGGAAGAACACCAUAUGAUUCAACUAUAGUAACAAAGAUCGUGCCAAAUCAAGAACACGAGAGAGAGGGGGCAUCAAACACAUAGCUACCGGUACAUACCUCAGCCCCGAGGGUGAACUACUCCCUCCUCGUCAUGCAGACUGCCAGGAUGAUGAAGAUGGCCUCCGGUGAUGAUUUCCCCUUCAGGCAAGAUGUCGAAACGGGCUCCCGGUUGUUUUUUCAUGGCUAUAGAGGCUUGUGGUGGCGGAAGUUCCGAUCUAGGUUUCUUUCUAGAGGUUACAAGAUUUAUAAAUGUUUUUGGCGCCGAUCUCACGUCAAGGCGGUGCUCGAGGGGCCCACAAGCCGGGGGCAUGCCCCUAGGCUAGUGGCUUCCUCAGUCACUUCCUAGCCCAGCUCCGAUGUUUCGGGGGUCUCUUUUGGUCCAUAAAAAAUCAUCGUAAUUUUUUAGCCUAUUCCGAGAACUUUUAUUUCUGCACAAAAAAUGACACCAUGGUAGUUCUGCUGAAAACAGCGUCAGUCCGGGUUAGUUCUAAUAAAUACAUACCAAAACCAUAUAAAAUUGUUGCAAACAUGGCAUGAAUACUUCAUAAAUUAUAGAUACAUUGGAGACAUAUCAGCAUCCCCAAGCUUAAUUCUUGCUCAUCGUCGAGUAGGUAAAUGACAAAAGAAUGAAUUUAUGAAGUGUGAAUGCUACGUAACAUAUUUAUCAAUGUAAGAUUCUUUAUUGUGGCAUGAAUGUUCUGAUCCAUAAGAUUCAAAACAAAAGUUUAAUAUUGACAUAAAAACAAUAAUACUUCAAGCAUACUAAUAAAGGCAUCAUGUCUUCUCAAAAAUAACAUGGCCAAAGAAAGUUAUCCCUAAAAUAUCAUAUAGUCUGGCUAUGCUCCAUCUUCAUCACACAAAGUAUUUCAUCAUGCACAACCCCGGUGUUAGUCAAGCAAUUGUUUCAUAUUUUUAAUGUUCUCAAACUUUUUCAACUUUCACGCAAUAUAUGAGCGUGAGCCAUGGAUAUAACAGUAACGAUGGAAUAGAAUAUGGUGGAGGUUGUGAGGAGAAGACAAAAAGGAGAAAGUCUCACAUCAACUAGGCAAAUUAAUGGGCUAUGGAGAUGCCCAUCAAUUUAUAGCGAUGCAUGUGAGUAGGGAUUGCCAUGCAACGGGUGCACUAGAGCUAUAAGUGUAUGAAAGCUCAAAAGAAAACUAAGUGGGUGUGCAUCCAACUUGCUUGCUCAUGAAGACCUAGGGCAAUUUGAGGAAGCCCAUCACUGGAGUAUACAAGCCAAGUUCUAUAAUGAAAAAUUCCCACUAGUAUAUGAAAGUGACAAAAUAGGAGACUCUCUAUCAUGAAGAACAUGGUGCUACUUUAAAGCACAAGUGUGGAAAAGGAUAGUAGCAUUGUCCCUUCUCUCUCUUUCUCUCAUUUUUUUAAUUUGUCUUAUUUUCUCUUUUUUUUGUUUGGGCUCUUUGGCAUUUUCAAAAAAAUGGCUCUUUGGGCUCUUUUUAUUUUUUAAGUCCAGAGUCUCAUCCCAACUUGUGAGGGAAUCAUAGCCUCCAUCAUCCUUUCCUCACAUGGGACAAUGCUCUAAUAAUGAUCAUCACACUUUUAUUUACUUACAACUCAAGAAUUACAAAUCGAUACUAGAACAAAGAUAUGACUCUAUAAGAAUGCCUCCGGUGGUGUACCGGGAUGUGCAAUGAUCAAGAGUGACAUGUAUACAAAUAUGAACGGUGGUCAAGCCACAAAUACUAUGCCAACUACAUGAUCAUGCAAAGCAAUAUGACAAUGAUGGUAUGCGUCAUAAUAUAUGGAACAGUGGAAGUUGCAUGGCAAUAUAUCUUAGAAUGGCUAUGGAUAUGCCAUAAUAGAUAGGUAUGGUGGUUGUUUUGAGGAAGGGUAAAUGGUGGGUUUAAUGCACCAGCGAAAGUUGCGCGGUACUAGAGAGACUAGCAAUAGUGGAAGGGUGAGAGUGCGUAUAAUCCAUGGACUCAACAUUGGUCAUAAAGAACUCACAUACUUAUUGAAAAAGUUUAUUAGCCAUCAAAUCAAAGUACUAAUACGCAUGCUAUUAGGGGAGAGGUUGGUAGGAGUUAACCAUCGCGCGCUCCUGACCUCCACACAAAGGAUGACAAUCAAUAAAUAAAUCAUGCUCCAACUUCAUCACAUAACGGUUCACCAUACGUGCAUGCUAAGAGAAUCACAAACUUUAGCACAAGUAUUUCUACCAAUCCACAAUUACACUAGCAUGACUCUAAUAUCACCAUCUUUAUAUCUCAAAACAAAUGCAAGGAAUCAAACUUCUCAUAUAUUCAAUGCUCUUUAUGAAAGUUUUUAUUGUAUCCUUCUUGAAUACCUAUCAUAUUGGGACCAAUUUCAUAACACAUUUAUGUUACCACUACUAUUUAUAAGACUCUCAAAAAGAUAUAAGUGAAGCAUGAGAGUAAAUGACAAACUACUCCAAAAAGAUAAAAGUGGAGAUCAAUGAGUAGUUUAAUAAUUAUGUAGCUAUGUGAGGACUCUAUCUCAUUUAAGAAUUUCAGAUCUUAAUAUUUUAUUCGAACAACAAGCAAAACAAAUAAAAAUUACACUCCAAGGAUAGCACAUAUCAUGUGAAGAAGCAAAAACUUAGGUUCAACCAAAAUUGACUGAUCAUUGUUGAAGAAGAAAGGUGGGAUGCCAACUGGGGCAUCCCCAAUCUUAGAUGCUUGAGACUUCUUGAAAUAUUAACUAGGGAUGCCUUGGGCACCCCCAAGCUUGAGCUCUUGUGUCUCCUUAAUUCCUCCCACAUCACAGUUUCCCUAAUUCUAAAAAAACUUCAUCCACACAAAACUCAACAAGAACUCAUGAGAUAAGUUAGUAUAAAUAAAUGCAAAACCUUAUCAUUCUCUACUGUAGAAAAUCACUAAAAUUAUAAUUUGACAUUGCAUACUAAAUGCCUCUGCAUAUUUAAUACUCCUAUCCUCAAAUAGAAUCAUUAAACAAGCAAACAUAUUCAAACAAUGCAAACAUAACAGCAAUCUGUCUAAACAGAACAGUCUGUAAAGAAUGCAAGAACAUUGAUACUUCUCUAAAUCAAAAAAUUCUGAAAAAUUAGGACAAUCUAGGCAAUUUGUAUAUCAAUCUUGUGUAAGAAAUUUAGAGCAAAAUCACGCUUUUGUGUAUUUCUAAAAUUCUGGCAAUGAGCGCAAAAGUUUCUGUUUUUCAGCAAGAUCAAAUCAACUAUCACCAUGGACCAUCCCAAAGGUCUUACUUGGCUCAAACACUAAUUAAAACACUAAAAUACAAUUACUACAGAGGUAAUAAUGUGUAUUUAUUGAAAAACAUAAGCAAAAACAAAAACAGAAAAUAAAAAUUGGCCUGCCGCCCAACAAGCGCUUUUAUUUAAUGCGUUUUUAGCUAGGCAUGAUGAUGUCAAUGAUGCUCACAUAAAAGAUAAUAAUUGAAACAUAAUGGGAGCAUCAUGAAGCAUAUGACUAGAACAUUUAAGUCUAACCCACUUCCUAUGCAUAUGGAUUUUGUGAGGAAACAAUUUAUGGGAGCAAGAAUCAACUAGCAUAGGAAGGUAAAGCAAGCAAAACUUCAAGAUUUUCAACACGUAGAGAGGAAACUUGAUAUUAUUGAGAUACGUAGAAGCAUAUAUUCCUCUCUCAUAAUAAUUUUCAAUAGCAUAAUGAAUGAAUUAAACAAUAUAACUAUCACGUAAAGCAUUAUUUUCAUGAUCCACAACCAUAAUUUUUUUUAUUAUUCUCCACAUAAGCAAAAUUCUUCUCAUUCAUAGUAGUUGGAGAAAACUCAACAAAAUAACUAUCAUGUGAGGCAUAAUCCAAUUGAAAAUUAAAAUUGCGAUGACAAGUUUCAUGGUUAUCAUUAUUAUUUAUAGAUAGCAACUUUGUUCUCAUAAUCAAUUGAAACCUCUUCCGAAAUAGUGGAUUCAUCACUAAAUAAAGUCGUGACCUCUCCAAAUCCACUUUCAUAAAUAUUAUAAGAUUCAACACCCUCCAAAAUAGUGGGAUCAUUACCUAGAGUUGACACUCUUCCAAACCCACUUUAAUCAAUAUAAUCAUCAUAAAUAGGAGGCACGUUAUCAUCAUAAUAAAUUUGCUCAUCAAAACUUGGGGGACAAAAAAUAUCAUCUUCAUCAAACAUAGCAUCCCCAAGCUUAUGACUUUGCAUAUCAUUGGCAUCAUGGAUAUUCAAAGAAUUCAUACUAAAAACAUUACAAUCAUUCUCAUCAUUCAAAUAUUUAGUGCCAAACAUUUUAUUGACUUCUUCUUCUAACACUUUGGCACAAUUUUCCUUUCCAUCAUUUUCAUGGAAGACAUUAAAAAGAUGAAGCAUAUGAGGCAACCUCAAUUCCAUUUUUUUGUAGUUUUCUUUUAUAGACUAAACUAGUGAUAAAACAAGAAACUAAAAGAUUCAAUUGCAAGAUCUAAAGAUAUACCUUCAAGCACUCACCUCCCGGGCAACGGCUCCAGAAAAGAGCUUGAUGUCUACUACGAAACCUUCUUCUUGUAGACUCGUGUUAGGCCUCCAAGCACAGAGUUUGGUAGGAGAAUAGCAAAUUUCCCUCAAGUGGAUGACCUAAGGUUUAUCAAUCCAUGAGGCAUAGGAUGAAUACGGUCUCUGUCAAACAACCCUACAACCAAAUAACAAAGAGUCUCUUGUGUCCCCAACACACCCGAUACAAUGGUAUAUUGUAUAGGUGCACUGGUUCGGUGAAGAGAUGGUGAUACAAGUGUAAUAUGGAAGGUAGAUAUAGGUUUUUAUAAUCUGAAAAUAUAAAAAAGCAAGGUAGCAAGUAACAAAAGUGAGCAAAAACGGUAUUGUAAUGCUUGAAAACAAGGCCUAGGGUUCAUACUUUCACUAGUGCAAAUUCUCUCAACAAUGAUAACAUAAUUAAAUCAUAUGGCAAUCCCUCAACGUGCGACAAAGAAUCACUCCAAAGUUUCUAUCGGAGAACGUAGGACGAAAACAUGCAUCAACUCCUAUGCAUACAUUACCCUAGUGUCACCUCGGGAAUCCAUGAGUUGAGUGCCAAAACACACAUCAAGUGAAUCAACAGAACAUCCCAUUGUCACCACAGAUAUCCCAUCACAAGACAUACAUCAAGUGUUCUCAAAUCCAUUACUCAAUCCAACAUAACGAAACCUCAAAGAGCAAGACUCAAUUCAUCACAAGAAGGUAGAGAGGGAAGAACACCAUAUGAUUCAAUUAUAGUAACAAAGCUCGCCAUACAUCAAGAUCGUGCCAAAUCAAGAACACGAGAGAGAGAGAGAGAGAGAGAGAUCAAACACAUAGCUACUGGUACAUACCCUCAGCCCCGAGGUUAAACUACCCCCUCGUCGUCAUCGAGACCGCCGAGAUGAUGAAGAUGGCCUCCGGUGAUGAUUUCCCCCCUCUGGAAGGGUGCCAGAAUGGGCUCCCAAUUAGUUUUUCAUGGCUAUAGAGGCUUGCGGCAGUGGAACUUCCAAUCUAGGUUUAUUUCUAGAGGUUACAAGAUUUAUAAGAAUUUUUGGCGUCGGUCUCACAUCAAGGGGGUGCCCGAGGGGCCCACAAGCUGGGGGCGCGCUCCCUGGGGGUAGGGCGCCCCCUAGGCUUGUGGCCUCCUCGAUCACUUCCUGGCCCAACUCUGGUGCUUCGGGGGUCUCUUUUGGUCCAUAAAAAAUCACUCUAAAUUUUCAGCCCAUUCCGAGAACUUUUAUUUCUGCACAAAAAACGACACCACGGUAGUUCUGCUGAAAACAGCGUCAGUCCAGGUUAGUUCUAAUAAAAUCAUACCAAACUCAUAUAAAAUUGUUGCAAACAUGGCAUGAAUACUUCAUAAACUAUUGAUAUGUUGGAGACAUAUCAGCUCUCUCUUCCUUCCUCUCCGCUUUCUUCUCUCCUUGACGUUCCCUUAUCUCUCGCUCUCUUGGGUGACCUGCAGCCAGUGCCUCCUCCGCCGUAGGCCGCUGCCUGAGGCCUCCUCCUAUUUGUCGACCCUUCUCUUGUCUCUCUUGCAACUAGUGCCGCCGUCUGGCGUGGCGCAUUUGCAGCCCGCCCGCUAACAUCGUGGGCCACUGCCCAUUGCGCCUGCCCAUUGCUACCCGAGGCCUCUUCUCUUUGCUGACCCAUGGUGGCGUGCAACAAGAGCAGCAGUAGAACAUCAGGAGUGGCGGUGGCGGAACAGCGGGAGCAUCAGCUCUAGGCGCGUGCAACAGCCGACACGACUGGCUACCUCUGGCCACUCCCCAUGCCGAUGUUCAACAAGAGAGGAGCUCCGGCCGCGUGCAGGAGCCGGCACGACGGGCUCCCUCCGGCCACUCUUCGUGCCCGGAGCUCAAGAGUGGAGAUGAUGAGGACAUCAAUAUCACUUUUACACCCACAACCCCUACUGCUACAUAUACUAGACCAAUUACUAGAGCUCGUGCACACCAAUUAAAUUAUCAGGUACUUUCGUUUCUUGGUAAUGAUUCUAAUGUUCAUGAGAAUAUGAUGCUACCUAAAUUAGAUACAUUUGUUUUGCUUACAAAUGAAGGGCCUGGCAUGGAUAAGAGGGAUGAACACUAGAGCAAGACCAAGCAUGGAGAUCAUGGCAUGCGCAAGGGGAACAAGAACAGUUACAAGUGAUGAUUUCAAGACUUUAAAGCCACAAUAACGAGUGCAUGAAGCCUUGGACGAAAUAUAAAAGAUGCCACUUCAUAAAUUUCUUCCAUAGGCUAUUCUAGGUGUUGUGUCACCUUAUUAUUGGGCCAGGCCCAUGUAAUUACGAAAUACUUAAGUAUAGGCUGUUUUUAGAGACCGUAUGUGUGGGGAAACAAGAGUUAGGGUUGGUUUCGGAACCCUCCUCCAAGGGCAACGAAAUUCCCCCUCUUCCUCCAUAUAUAUAUAUAUAUAUAUAUAUAUAUAUAUAUAUAUAUAUAUAUAUAUCCCUUAGGGCGUCGUUUAGACUUUGGGUUUUGUUUAGAUUAAAAGUUGGCCAUAACUGCAACUUCACGUACUUCGUUUGUGUUCAACGACCAGACCAAGGCGUCACAGAACUCCACCUUGAUCAAUAAAGCUUUCAUCUUAUAUUUGCAAUAUCCAGAUUGCAAUCUUAGUUUCUUGCUUGUUCUUCGUUUGCUUGCAGGAAAUAGACCUUCGUGGUCAGGUUGAUCGUGCUCCGGCAUGGUCAAUAACCUCUCGGAGUUGGUUUAGCGAUUGCUAAGGCGUGACAUCCUCGCACGUUCGUAGUCGGAUCGUCAAAGUCUACUCCAUCAUAAGCAAUAGCCGCUGUCGGUGUCAAAACCGGCGGAUCUCGGGUAGGGGGUCCCGAACUGUGUGUCUAAGGCGGAUGGUAACAGGAGGCAGGGGACACAAUGUUUUACCCAGGUUUGGGCCCUCUUGAUGGAGGUAAAACCCUACGUCCUGCUCGAUUUAUUCUUGAUGAUAUGGGUAUUACAAGAGUUGAUCUACCACGAGAUCAGAGAGGCUAAACCCUAGAAGCUAGCCUAUGGUAUGAUUGUAUGUUGUCCUACAGACUAAAACCCUCCGGUUUAUAUAGACACCGUAGGGGGCUAGGGUUACACAAGGUCGGUUACAAAGGAGGAGAUAUACAUAUCCGUACUGCCUAGCUUGCCUUCCACGCCAAGUAGAGUCCCAUACGGACAUGAGAUGAAGUCUUCAAUCUUGUAUCUUCAUAGUCUAAUAGUCCGGCCAAAGGACAUAGUCCGACUGUCCGGAGACCCCCUAAUCCAGGACUCCUUCAGUAGCCCCUGAACCAGGCUUCAAUGACGAUGAGUCCGGCGUGCAGUGUUGUCUUCGGCAUUGCAAGGCGGGUUCCUCCUCCGGAUACACCACAGAAGAGUUCGAAAUAAAAGGAUAGUGUCCGACCCUGCAAAAUAAGUUCCACAUACCACCAUAGGGAGAAUAAUAUUUCCACAAAUAUAAUCUGCUGGCACGUUUUGGCAACAUGACAUCAUGCCAUGGCGCGGUGAUCAUUCGAACCAUUUUUCUUUAACUAGCCCCGCACAUAACGCGAGCCAGUUUCUUGACACGUCUUGUCAAAGCAGAGAUCAUGUCCCCCUUAUUACGUGAUUCUCAUCAAUAUGGGCGUGGGUAACCCAACCGCGCCAUGAAUUACGGCGCUUGGAGGAUAAGCGAGUUUUACCAGGCUAGUGGGGGCGCAUAGUUUCGGCCGCCCUUAUAAAGGGAUAAGGUUUAUCCUUUUUCUACCCACGCCUUCUUCCUCCUUGCUCAUCCAUUCUCGCGCACUCGAGCUCCAACGCCCAAGUCCACAUCCUUCUCCUCAACCUUCUCCAAACAUGUCUAGAGCGGGAGGCAAGUGGAUGGCUUCCUCCGUUACGGAGGGACACAUCAAAAAGCUGCGCGGAGCCGGAUACUUAUCUGCGAAUAUCGCGCAUCGGCUGCCCGCUGCAGGGCAGAUCGUCCCCACCCCGGAACCUCACGAGUGGGUAGUCUUCCUCCACCACUUCCUCUGCGGACUGGGGUUUCCCCUCCAUCCAUUCGUCUGUGGUCUUAUGUUCUACUAUGGGCUGGACUUUCAUGAUCUAGCCCCGAACUUCAUCCUCAACAUUACGGCGUUCAUUGUCGUGUGUGAGGCUUUCCACCGCAUCCGGCCCCACUUUGGCCUGUGGCUGAAGACCUUCAAUAUCAAGUCGAAGAUGGUGGGAGGCCAACAAGCAGAAUGCGGCGGAGCCAUGGUGGGCAAGAUGCCCAAUGUUAUAUGGCUUGAAGGCUCCUUCGUGGAGACCAUAAAGGGGUGGCAAUCGGUGUGGUUCUACAUCACCGAGCCACGCGGCACCAACUGGGUGGCGGCCCUCGAGUUUCGAUCCGGAAUCCCCACGCGACUCACCUCCUGGAAAGAGAAGGGCCUAUCCUGGGGUUCAUCGGUGGAGCUGGACGGACUCCAGAAAUGUAUCCGGAAUAUGGCAAGCAAGAAGCUCAAGCUUGUCAACAUAGUCCAGGUCAUGCUCUUCCGCCGGAUCCUCCCGUGUCAACAACGGGAUUUCAACUUGUGGGAGUUCGACCCGGCCUAGCACCAGACUCUGAGCGAGCUCUUUGACACGACGCACAAGGACGUUUGGGGGGUGCUAUUCAAGGGUGCCGAGGUCCCUCCCUCUCUCACCGAGGACCGAGGAACGCGGGCUAAGCGCGAAGCGCCCUGCGAAUCCGGUAAGUUUUGUACAUCUGGUAGGAUUUUUACUUCCCAUAGCUUAACCACGCGUGGGGUCUGAGCUCCCAUGCCUUUGACAGGACUGGGUGGGGGCAUCACAAAAGAUCGACUGUCCGGCCCCUCUGCCCGAAGACACUGCGGACGCUCUCCUGAUGGAGAUGCUGACUCCGGCUCCUUACAAGGUGCCGGAGAAGACCAAGAAGAAGGCCAAGGGAACCCGAAAGAGUUCUCGACGCCAGGUGAUAUCGGACUCAUCAUCCGAUAACUCCGCGAUCCACUCCUCCCCCGAAGACGAGGAGGAAGAUGAAGAUGCUCCCCCUUCAGUCGGGGGAGACAAGAAAAAGGAAGGCCGCCCCGACCGGGGGGGUGAAGGGUCCAAGAAGGGGAGGACCCUCCUCCCGGACUACUCCACCACCGCCGCUGAAGGCGAAGAUGAGUGGCUGCUCAGGGCCAAGCCCCUGGCGAAGUCGUAAGUAUUCGGAUACCAGAGUAACUCAUAGCAUACCUUUGUCGCACUGCUUCUCCUAACGCCGAAUAUGAUUAUGCAGACCGUCCCAAGCCCGUAUCGACGUAUCUUCAUCGGGCGGCUCCUUGGACUCGUCGGAUAUGGAUAGCGAUCCACUCCCGACCGCCACCUCCCCUUGCCCUACGGACAAUGCCGAGGUAUUGUCUCAAGAGGCACCGGGUCGAGGGGAGACAAUCCCGGAGGCGCCUCAAGGCGACCUUCCGGACUCCGGGAGCAGAGGGAGUAAGGCUCCCGAGGGCUCCGAGUUCGGCCCUCAACCGAACACCGCACCGGAACCUCCAGUGGUUCCGGACUCAGGCAGGCGGCCUCCUUCUAAAAGGGGCAAGACGCCUAUGCCGGUGACCUCUGUCCAUCCAGAGGCACCGGACAAUCUGCUGGGAGCGCUUCACAGCGCUUCCAUCGACAAAGAGCACCGCACUAUUAUGAGUGCGGUGAUCCAGAAGGUUCAGUCCGCCAAGAGUGGACUGACUGAAGCCUAUGCCAGCCUUCUAACAGGCUUUGAGGUAAGUAUUUGAAAUAUAGGAAAAAUAUUACCGCAUAGACAGUAGCCCCUGAUGCUCUGUUUGGUGUUCAAAAAGAAAAGUCGAAUAGAGGAUCAACUAAUAUCUGCAGGAGUCCAAUAUAAGUAUGUCUAUAUGCGCAUGCAGGCUUCGUUGCUGACCUCUGCCGCACUGACUGCGGAGGUCGCCGUACUGAAGCAGGACCUCGAAGGGUCCAAGAAAGAGCUCGGCCUUGCCAAGAGGCAGCUCAAGGAGAACAAAGGUAAGUAAUACCUAGUCUAUAGAUGCGUAUAUAUACAAAAAGGAUGCGAUUGCAAAAUGAUAGGAUCAUCUUUAAUUUGCCAGGGGCCACGACCAAGGUGGCAACCCUGAAGCAAGCGUUAUCCAAGGACGAAAAAAGCGGCCCAGGAGCGCACCGAGCGGGAAAAACAAGAGGCACGGGUGGGCGAGGUGCAGCAAGAGCUCCAUGCUCUCGUGACGAAGCACGAGGUGUUGGAGCUUGACUUGAAGACGCGAGAGUCCGAGCUUGCCGCGGCCCUUGAGAGUGCAAAGAGUGCCAAGGCUAAAGCCCAAAAGGCCCUCCAGGAGAUUGAUGCGAUGAAGAAGAUAGCGGCGGGUAAGGCAUUCAAUAUGCAAAGCAAGCAUGUGAAAGUAAAUUACUUGUUACUUACCCGAGUCCGGAGCUCUCUAGGAGCAUUCGCAAAUUUGCCCCGCAGCGUGUCGGAUGCCGCACAGUUUUACUAGGCCGAGGAGGGAAGCUCAACGGAGAAGCUGUUCUGGUCUCAGUAUACUGGGACCGAACACCCGAUGCCUCUGAGCGACCAGCUGAAGCAACUGGUCGAGCUGCACAAGGCGGCCGAACAAGCCAUGAAGGGCUUUAUAGUCCGGAUGUGGCCUGGUGACGUCCUUCCCAAUAGCUACUUUGACCUGGUGAGGCGGCUUGUGGAUGCCUGCCCAUGGCUGGAAGUCAUUAAGCAGUCCGUCUGCAUCGAAGGUGCACGCCGGGCUUUCGCCCGUGCGAAGGUGCACUGGGCCAAGAUGGACGCCGUGAAGCUGGUGAAGGAAGGGCCGCCGCAGGGCAAGGAGCAUCGCCACCCCGAGAUGUACUAUGAGGGUGUCCUGAAGGGUGCCCGUCUUGUAGCAGACAAGUGUGCGAAAGAUGUAAUAUUUGAAUAAACUUGCUAGUCUAAUCCCGUAUUAUGAAAACUUGUUCAUAUGCGCUAUGCAACGCUUGUUUGAAUUUAAAAUAUUGCCUUCUGCUCGGCUGUUUAUCGAAUCUGAGAGAUGGCUAGUCGUCAGCUUCUGCCCCCACGCCAUGAGUGCUAGGGUGUUCAGGAUAAAACCUGAGCACUCUUGUUCCCAUUUUUGGGUCCUUCGAGGGAGGUGCUCAGCACAACGAACAAGGCAAUCGGACUAUAAUGCAUUAUCACUCUCACUUAGCCAUAGAAUUCUAUAAUUUUAAAUUUUAGCGAAGCCCCUAGUAUUCGGAAGCCGAAUUCGGGGCGCUAUACACGCCUUAAGCCGGACAGGGCCGACUCCUCGCUCUAAGCGGCAUAAGUCUUUAGGGACUUGAGACCUCUCGAACAGUGACCAGUCUCUCGCCUUAUCAUGACAGUCAGUUUUAGCUUUUUCUACUAAGGUGCUUAGCCCAGCAGAACGGGGGCACAAUCGCAGUAGUUCUCCCAGUGCUACCUUAGCCGAUAUAGCGGAAUGUAAGGUACCAAAACAUGGGAGCCGGGCAAACCCAACUAUUGACCCAAGACAUGAUUCGAAGCUGAUGCAUAUAAUGCUAUAAGUUCGGGGUGCCGCACUGUCGAAAGUGUUCGGACUUCUCACGCCGUAUUAUGGGGUAUACUUAAGCCCCUAGCGUAUUGUCCGUACCAGAUUGUACGGGUGCUAGAUGUCAUGAAUGAAUAUAUAUAUAUAUAUAUAUAUAUAUAUAUAUAUAUAUAAAGGAAGAAUGCAAUAAUAGUCUUAAUGCUAUGCAUUGUUUAUUCAAAAGGGUGCGUUAGAUCAGAAUGAUACAAGUAGUGCGAUAAGCAAAAGGUAGGAUUAUUUGACAUGUCCCUUCCAAGGGCAAGCUGAGAAAUGGUAUUAAAGCAAGUAUUUCACUCGUUAUCGUAAUCCACCUGGGACUUUCGUGGUGUGACGUAGCUUUCUGCCUCCUUGGUUGCUGCAUCAUAUGUUCGACAAUCAUGCUGCUGGACAGGGUUUCCAGAGAUUAACGUCCUGAAAGAGAAAAAUAACAAAGCGGGAAGCCCCUAGUGCGGUUUAAGCCACAUCUUGGAGCGUGUCGUAGUCGUGCCCCCCUUCCCACCUAUGCCCAUGGUAUUUUUAAUGCGUAAUUAUGUACGCGUGGCACGGACUUUGCCGUUCGGCUGGGACCGGGGUGGGGGCCGCAUUGCUAUGUGAGCUCAGAACGUGCCAGGCGGUCCUGUUGCCGAUUACUCCGGGCGCGCUUGAAGGUGUCCGGGUCCUUAAUCGACGAACUAGUGGAUUGCCUUAAGAGGCUGCUUUGCGCUUCUGCUGUGAGGCCGCAGUGUGCUCCUCCGUGCGGAGAGAGCGCUCUGUGUUUCCAUUGACUGUGAUGACCUCCCGAGGUCCUGGCAUCUUGAGCUUGAGAUAUGCAUAAUGCGGUACCGCAUUGAAUCUCGCAAAUGCGGUUCGCCCGAGCAGUGCAUGGUAGCCACCAUGGAACGGGACUAUGUCGAAGAUUAACUCUUCGAUUCGGAAGUUAUCUGGAGAUCCGAAGACCACUUCCAGUGUGACUGAGCCUGUGCAGUGGGCCUCUACACCUGGUAUGACGCCUUUAAAGGUCAUUUUUGUGGGUUUGAUCCUUGAGGGGUCUAUACCCAUUUUGCGCACUAUGUCCUGAUAAAGCAGGUUCAGGCUGCUGCUGCCAUCCAUAAGGACUCGAGUGAGGUGAAAUCCAUCAAUGAUUGGGUCUAGGACCAAUGCGGUGAAUCCGCCAUGACGGAUACUAGUGGGGUGGUCCUUGCGGUCGAAGGUGAUCGGACAGGAGGACCAUGGGUUGAACUUUGGAGCGACUGGCUCCAACGCAUAUACGUCCCUGAGCGCACGCUUCCGUUCCCUCUUGGGGAUGUGGGUUGCGUAUAUCAUGUUCACCGUCCGCACUUGUGGGGGGAACCUCUUCUGUCCUCCGGUGUUCGGCUGUCGGGGCUCCCCUUCAUCAUCGUUAUGUGACCCCUUAUCUUUGUUUUUGGCAUUUAACUUGCCGGCCUGCUUGAACACCCAACAAUCCCUGUUGGUGUGGUUGGUUGGCUUGUCGGGGGUGCCGUGUAUUUGGCACGAGCGAUCGAGUAUACGGUCCAAACUGGACGGGCCCGGAGUGCUUCUUUUGAAUGGUUUUUUCCGCUGACCAGGUUUAGAGCCUUUCAAUCCGGCAUUGACUGUCGUAUCCUCGGUAUUGUCGCUGUUAAUGCGGCGCUUAUGUUUGUUGCGAUGUGACCUGCCGUUGCCGUCCUUGGUAUCCGAAGUACCAUGGUUCUUUGAUAUGUUAUUGUUGCGAGCCAACCAGCUGUCCUCUCCCGCACAGAAGCGGGUCAUGAGUGUCGUGAGGGCUGCCAUAGAUUUUGGCUUUUCCUGGCCAAGGUGCUGGGCGAGCCAUUCAUCGCGGAUGUUGUGCUUAAAAGCUGCUAGGGCCUCUGCAUCCGGACAGUCGAUGAUUUGAUUUUUCUUUGUUAGGAACCGUGUCCAGAAUUGCCUGGCCGAUUCCUCCGGCUGCUGAAUUAUGUGGCUCAAGUCAUCGGCAUCUGGUGGUCACACAUAAGUGCCCUGAAAAUUGUCGAGGAAUGUAGCUUCUAGAUCUUCCCAACUGCCAAUGGACUCUGCUGGCAAGAUGUUGAGCCAAUGCCGAGCUGGUCCUUUGAGUUUGAGUGGGAGGUAUUUGAUGGCGUGUAGGUCAUCAUCGCGGGCCAUGUGGAUGUGCAGGAGGAAAUCCUCGAUCCAUACCGCAGGAUCUGUUGUGCCAUCGUAUGAUUCUAUAUUUACGGGUUUGAAACCCUCUGGGAUUUGAUGAUUCAUUACUUUGUCUGUGAAGCAUAAGGGGUGUGCGGCGCCUCUGUACUGGGCUAUAUCGUGACGCAGCUCAAAUGAGUCUUUCCCGCUGUGUUCGGCCCGGCCGGACUUACUUUUACUGUAUCCGGCGUGACGAUUAUCGUCUCGCAUAGUGGCGCGCCCUCGUGAUCCAUAGAUCGAUCUUGCAUGUUUUCCUUUGUCCUCCAAUACGUCUCGCAGGUCUGGCGUAUCUCCCCAUGCCUUUUUAUUUGAAUGGCGUCGUGGUGCGGGCUGAGCUUUUGGCUGGAAUGCCUCUCUGUCGCGGCCACGAGGUGGCUGAUCAGCCGCGUCGUACGCCGGGGAUGUAGGUUUCGGUGCUUCCUCCUCCAGUCGGGAUAGCAACCUGCACUUUGGGUAACUCUUGGAGGGGCGCUCGAGUUUAUAUUCCUCGGCCGCCAGGACUUUAGUCCAUCUGUCAGCUAGCAAAUCUUGGUCAGCUUGAAGCUGUUGUUGCUUUUUCUUAAGGCUAUUCGCCGUGGCUAUAAGCCAGCGCUUGAAGCGCUCUUGUUCGACGGGAUCCUCUGGCACAAUGAAUUCAUCAUCGUCGAGGCUUGCAUCGUCUUCAGAGGGAGGAAUGUAAUUAUCAUCCUCUGCCUCUCCAUCUGCCUCUCUCUCAGGAGGGCUGGCUUCUCCAUCCCCCUGCUCUAAAUCUUGCUGGAGGGGAUUGUUGUUGUCUUCGGCACUGUCCGGAGUGCUAUUAUCUCUGGUGCCGGUAUCACCGCUUUUGACUUGGCGGGACUUAGAGCGGCGCCGCUGACGCCGGCGCUUGGGUUGCUUCUUGGAGGGGUCAUCCUCCGCUAUCCCGUCGCUAUUGCCUUCUUUGGGUGUGUCCACCAUGUAUAUGUCAUAUGAUGAGGUGGUUGUCCAGUGCCCUGUGGGCAGUGGUUUCUCUUCGCCUCCCGCAUCAUCGUCCAUACCGUCGAUGUCUUCGGAGUCGAAGUCAAGCAUGUCGGUUAAGUCAUUGAAAGUGGCGACUAAGUGGGUGGUGGGUGGGCGGCGAAUUUCUUUGUCAUCUGUAUCCCAAUUCUGCCGAACAUAGUUCGGCCAGGACCCUCCUGACAAGGAGAGAGACCUUAGUGAGUUCAGUAUGUCGCCGAAGGGCGAGUACUGAAAAAUAUCCGCAGAGGUAAACUCCAUGAUCGGCGCCCAAUCGGAUUCGACAGGAACAGGUGCAGACGGUUCGGAGUCCGUGGCCGGAGAAGGAUCCGCCAGUUUGGCAACACGGCUCUCGUGAAGGGUAAGGUCGAUAUUCGGCUCGAUCGCCGCUGAGGAUACGGCCUCCGUGGUGGGGUCUAUCCACACGUCCAUGGAUGGCGCAACUGGCUCUGAAUUAAGGGUCAGAGCGGCUACCGGUGCGAUUUCUUGAACACUGUCCGAUGGUAGAGCUAAAUCGUACUCAUCGUGACCGCGUGGCGCACAAAGGCAGGGGCUCGAAUCCGUCGAAGAUCAAGUCUCCGUGGAUAUCGUCCGUGUAGUUUAAGCUUCCAAACCUGACCUGGUGGCCAGGGGCGUAACUUUCGAUCUACUCCAGAUGGCCAAGCGAGUUGGCCCGUAGUGCGAAGCCGUCGAACACAAAGAUCUGUCCGGGGAGAAAAGUCUCACCCUGGACUACAUCACCAUCGAUGAUCGUAGGAGCCAUCAAGCCUAACGACGACGACACAGAGGAACUCUCAAUGAAAGCACCAAUGUCGGUGUCAAAAUCGGCGGAUCUCGGGUAGGGGGUCCCGAACUGUGCGUCUAAGGCGGAUGGUAACAGGAGGCAGGGGACACGAUGUUUUACCCAGGUUCGGGCCCUCUUGAUGGAGGUAAAACCCUACGUCCUGCUCGAUUUAUUCUUGAUGAUAUGGGUAUUACAAGAGUUGAUCUACCAUGAGAUCGGAGAGGCUAAACCCUAGAAGCUAGCCUAUGGUAUGAUUGUAUGUUGUCCUACGGACUAAAACCCUUCGGUUUAUAUAGACACUGGAGGGGGCUAGGGUUACACAAGGUCGGUUACAAAGGAGGAGAUAUACAUAUCCAUACUGCCUAGCUUGCCUUCCACGCCAAGUAGAGUCCCAUCUGGACACGAGACAAAGUCUUCAAUCUUGUAUCUUCAUAGUCUAACAGUCCGGCCAAAGGACAUAGUCCGGCUGUCUGGAGACCCCCUAAUCCAGGACUCCCUCAGCCGCCAUCUCAUCGAAAGACGGGACACCUUUUCCUCUAUCAAGUUGUAUUAGAUUUCCAGGUUGCUCGGUGAGAUUUUAUAGUUUUUCUUAGUUUAGAUCGAGUCUGUUCUUCAUACCUACAGUCCACGAAAAAGCCAAAAAAAUUUAGCUUUGUUAUCAUAUCCAAACCAAUCUGAGCCAUUGCAUAAUCUUUUCUGUAUUUGUUUCGUUGAAUUUGCGGUUGCAUCAUCAUGUCAAGUUGCUGGUCUUAGAGUCUAGUCCUUUAGAGUUUCGAGUUUGGUUCACAAGUUGUCAUGCCACCACCGCACCAUCAUCAUCACCGCUACCAUAUACCACCAUAGUCAUCACCACUGCCAUAUACCACCGUCGUCGUCACCGCUGCCAUAUAACACCAUCGUCAUCACCGCUACUAUAUACCACAUAUCCACCACCAUCACGCUAAUCCGAGUCCAUCUUCAUCAUAGAUUCGCCACCAAUCUGUGUUCCACCGCUCUACAUAUAUCCGCCACCAGUCCGAGUUUCCACCAAUUUCAUCUCUACCACCAGUCCUAGUCCGAGUCCAAUAUUUGUUGCUUUGUUUUUGAUUUCCAGAUCACGCCAUACUCCGAGUCGUGACAAAGAAGGAAUUCCGAACUUCCGUGUUACCCGUAGUAGAAAAAUAGUUCCAGUUUCAAAAAAAACUAAGUCUGGAAAAUUCUGGCUAGAUAGUUUUUAGACCAUUUGUAGACUUUUUCAAAAAAAAUUGUUGCGGAGCAAAACAAAGAGGGAAAAAGUGAAAAAAAAAUCAGAGUGUGCUCCUCCCUUAUUUACGUGCAGCGCCGUGAUUUUGUAAGUGUUCUAGGCUCGUGUUUCUAGCUUGGUCUAGCCUAGGACCAGCACAGUACCGUCGUUGAGCGUUUAUUCAACUUUGCAUCUCUGAAUUGAUUAUUGCUGGUAUUUUUACUACCAUAUCAUAAGCCUUCCCAGCUCCACAUACAUCUAUGUCGUGCGUUUGACUCUCCCUGGUAGUCGCUCUGUCCAAGCUUUGAGAGUAUUGACCACAACGGUUGCCGAUCACCACCUGCUGCUGGGUAAGAACUGGUACGAAUUUGAGAUUCGCUUGACGGAUUUGUGACACACCAGCACCACCACCACUUCCUAGUAGUCUGUAGGACCAUAUUCUUGCGUGUUUCUAUUGUUGCUAACCAUGGCAGGAUCACAAACUGAUGAGACUGAUUGGGAGAACAUGACGAACAAGCAGCUACAUGAUAAAUUUCAGCAAAUGAUGAGUGGACAGGUGCAAGAUGUGCUAAACAUAUUUGAAGAGGCCAUUGAGAAGAUAGAUGGCAUUGAGAAGACGUUUGAAACAAAGCUCGAUAACAAGUUUAAUGAAUUGCCCGCGCGUCUUCCACCACCACCGCCGGCUGCACCUGUGGCACCUCUACAACAACAACAAUGUCGCCUUCCAAAUCAAGUGGGACGAGCACUGCACGUUCCCCUUGAGCCUGGUCAAAAUUUUGGUGCCGCUGCACCUACUGUUGAUGCUUCAGUGGCUCCUGCUGCUGCCGCUGAGGAGAACGUUUACGAGGGCGAUUACGAGGAUGAGGUUGAUUAAAAUUAGCAUUGUGUGCAACCACCAGCACCACCACUAGGUCAUCCUCAUGCCUAUAAUCGUAAUGGUAGGGCUGCACCACCACCUCGGGUACGAGAUUAUGACCAUGUUCCUAAACUGAAAUUGAAUAUUCCACCAUUUGAGGGUCAAUACAUUCCUGAUGUCUAUCUUACUUGGGAGUUAGAAACUGAACAACGUUUCACAUGCUUACAAUAUCUUGAGGAUAGAUGUGUUACUGCUGCUGUUUGUGAAUUCACUAGCUUUGCUUCUGUUUGGUGGUCUGAACAUUGUAGAUUAUAUCCUAUUCCAGCUAUUUGGGCUGCUUUGAAAACUGUUAUGCGUAUUCGUUGGGUUCCACCAUAUUAUCAAUGUGAAUUGCUUCAAAAAUUGCAGUGUUUAAGACAAAUAAAAAUUCUGUAGAGGAAUAUUAUCAGGAAUUGCAAACUGGUAUGAUUAGAUGUGGUAUUUUUGAGGAUAACGAAGCUAUGCUUGCACAUUUUAUGGGUGGAUUAAAUAAAGAGAUUCAGACCAUUUUAGAGUAUAAGGAAUAUAAUAAUAUCACUCGUUUAUUCCAUCUUGCUUGCAAAGCUGAACGUGAAGUGCAGGAUCGACAAGCAUUGGCGCGGACUAACUUUUCUGCAGGUACCUUCAUCAUGGACACCGCGUGCAUCUUCUACUUCCACAUGUUCUGCUACACCGGCACCUCCGUCAGCCGCUACCUCCAGCCGUGAUACAAGAAAGUAGGCACUACCACCACUAUCUGCCAAGAGCACACCUAUCGGGCCAGCACAGAGCUCUUCUUCAUCCAUGGCAUCAACAGGGCACACACACAUGAUAUUAUUUGUCGUUGCUGUAAGGGUAGAGGUCAUUAUGCGAGAGAAUGCCAAUCUUCAUGUGUUAUGAUUGCUACUGAGGAUGGUGGGUAUGAGUCCGCUAGUGACUAUGAUGAGGAGACUUUGGCUCUUAUUACACGUGAAGAACACGGUGGAGAUGAUUCUGAACAUGAGACACAAUACAUGGCUCCUGAAGAUGCUGACAGGUAUGAAUGUUUAGUUGCUCAAUGUGUUUUGAGUGUGCAGGUCACACAAGCUGAGCAAAAUCAGAGGCAUAAUUUGUUCCAUUCAAAGGGAGUUGUGAAGGAACGUUCUAUUCGCGUCAUCAUAGAUGGAUGGAGCUGCAGAAACUUGGCUAGCGUGGAGAUGGUGGAGAAGCUAUUUCUCACCAUAAGACCACAUCCACAUCCUUACUAUAUCCAAUGGUUCAAUAACAGCGACAAUGUUAAGGUAACAUGUACUGUUCAUGUGCAUUUUAGUAUCUCUACGUAUGCCGAUUAUGUUGAUUGUGAUGUGGUACCCAUGCAAGCAUGUUCCUUAUUACUUGGUAGACCAUGGCAAUUUGAUAAAAAAAAUUGUACACCAUGGUAUAAAUAAUCAGUAUACUCUUGUUCAUAACGAUAAACAUAUUACUUUGCUUCCUAUGUCUCCUGAUUCCAUUUUGAAAGAUGAUAUUAAUAGAGCUAAUAAAGAAAAACAGGAGAAAAAUAAGAGUGAAAAUCAGAUUGUGGCAAAAGAAUUUGAGCAACAAAUGAAACCUAAUAAUAAACCAUCUAGUGUUGCUUCUGAAAUUAAAUUGAAAAGUGCAUGUUUACUUGCAACCAAGUCUGAUAUUGAUGAGCUAGAUUUUAGCAAAUCUAUUUGCUAUGCUUUUGUGUGCAAAUAGGCAUUUCAUUUGAGGACGUGCCUUCCUCUUUGCCUCCUGCUGUUACUAACAUUUUGCAAAAGUUCGCUGAUGUAUUUCCACAAGACGUGCCACCGGGAUUACCACCUAUUCGAGGGAUUGAGCAUCAUAUUGACUUAAUUCCCGGUGCGUCGCUACCCAACCGUGCACCAUACCAUACCAAUCUAGAGCAGGCGAAGGGGAUUAUGCGUCAAGUCCAGGAGCUGCUCGAUAAAGGUUAUAUACACUAAUCCCUUAGUCCUUGUGUUGUUCCUAUUAUUCUAGUGCCGAAGAAGGAUGGUACAUCGCGUAUGUGUGUUGAUUGUAGAGGCAUUAAUAAUAUUACUAUUCAUCAUCGUCAUCCUAUUCCUAGGCUAGAUGAUAUGCUUGAUGAAUUGAGUGGCUCUACAAUAUUCUUCAAAGUUGAUUUGCGUAGUGGAUACCAUCAAAUUUUUAUGAAAUUGGGAGAUGAAUGGAAAACAACAUUUAAAACAAAGUUUGGCUUAUAUGAGUGGUUAAUCAUUCCUUUUGGGUUAACUAAUGCACCUAGUACUUUCAUGAGAUUAAUGAACGAAGUUUUACGUGCUUUCAUUGGACGAUUUGUGGUAGUCUAUUUUGAUGAUAUAAUGAUUUAUAGCAAAUCUUUAGAAGAACAUUUGGAACAUAUAUGUGCUAUUUUUAUUGCUCUAUGUGAUGCACAUUUGUUUGGUGCACCUUUUGCACCGACCGAGUAUAUUUUCUUGGCUAUGUUGUUACUCUAUAGGGGAUUGAAGUUGAUAAAGCCAAGAUUAAAGCUAUUGAGAGUUGGCCGCAACCCAAAACGGUCACACAAGUGAGGAGUUUUCUUGACCACGCUGGAGUCUAUAGGCUUUUUGUGAGAGAUUUCAGCACCAUUGCUGCACCUCUCAAUGAGCUUACAAAGAAGGAUGUGCCUUUUGUUUGGGGUACCGCACAGGAAGAAGCCUUCACAGUAUUGAAAGAUAAGUUGACACAUACUCCUUUACUCCAACUUCCUGAUUUUAAUAAGACUUUUGAGCUUGAAUGUGAUGCUAGUGGAAUUGGAUUAGGAGGUGUGUUAUUACAAGAUGGCAAACAUGUUGCAUCCUUUUCUGAAAAAUUGGGUGGGCCUAGUCUGAACUAUUCUACUUAUGAUAAAGAAUUAUCUGCUCUUGUUCGGACUUUAGAAACAUGGCAACAUUAUUUAUGGCCUAAAGAAUUUGUUAUACAUUCUGAUCAUGAAUCUUUGGAACAUAUUAAAAGUCAAGCGAAACUAAAUCGUAGACAUGCUAAAUGGGUUGAAUUCAUUGAUACUUUCCCUUAUGUCAUUAAACACAAGAAGGGUAUAGAAAAUGUUAUUGCUGAUGCAUUGUCUCGUCAAUAUACUAUGAUUUCACAACUUGACUUCAAAAUAUUUGGUUUGGAGACCAUCAAAUAUCAAUAUGUGCAUGAUGCUGAUUUUAAAGAUGUAAUGCAGACUUGUAAAGAAGGAAGAACGUGGAACAAGUUCGUUGUUAAUGAUGGAUUUGUGUUCCGUGCUAACAAACUAUGCAUUCCGAGUAGUUCCAUUUGUCUUUUGUUGUUGCAGGAGGCACAUGGAGGAGGAUUAAUGGGACACUUUGGUGUGAAGAAGACGGAGGACGUACUUGCUACACAUUUCUUUUGGCCAAAUAUGAGAUGGGAUGUUGAGCGUUUUGUUGCUCGCUGCACUACAUGUCAAAAAGCUAAGUCACAACUCAAUCCUCAUGGUUUAUAUAUACCUUUUCCUGUACCUAGUGUUCCUUGGGAGGAUAUAUCUAUGGACUUUGUUUUAGGUUUACCCCGAACAAAGAAGGGGAGGGAUAGCAUAACUAUUGUCGUGGAUAGAUUCUCAAAAAUGGCACACUUUAUACCAUGUCAUAAAAGCGAUGAUGCGGUUAAUGUUGCAGAUUUGUUCUUUCGUGGAAUUAUCCGCUUGCAUGGUGUGCCAAAAACUGUUGUUUCAUAUCGUGAUACUAAAUUUCUUAGCCACUUUUGGAGAUGUUUAUGGGCUAAGUUGGGGACUAAACUGCUUUUUAGUACUAUUUGUCACCCCAAACUGAUGGACAAAUCGAAGUAGUCAAUAGAACAUUGUCUGCUAUGCUUAGGGCUGUUUUGAAGAAAAAUAAGAAAAUGUGGGAAGAAUCCUUGCCUCAUAUUGAAUUUGCUUAUAAUCAUUCAUUGCACUCUACUACUAAGAUGUGCCCUUACAAAAUUGUGUAUGGUUUCCUACCUCGUGCACCAAUUGAUUUGUUGCCUCUUCCAUCUUCGAAGAAGGUUAAUUUUGAUGCUAAACAAUGUGCUGAAUUGAUUUUAAAAAUGCAUGAGUUAACUAAGGAAAACAUUGAGCGUAUGAAUGCUAAAUAUAAACUUGUUGCCUUUGCACAUGGAGAUCUUGUUUGGUUACAUUUGCGUAAGGAUAGAUUUCCUGAUUUGCGCAAAUCAAAGCUAAUGCCACGUGUUGAUGGUUCUUUUAAGGUGUUAGAGAAAAUAAAUGAUAAUGCAUAUAAACUUGAGCUGCCGGCAGAUUUUGGGGUUAGUCCCACUUUUAACAUUGCAGAUUUGAAGCCUUAUUUGGGUGAGGAAGAUGAGCUUCUGUCAAGGACGACUUCAUUUCAAGAAGGGGAGGAUGAUGUGGACAUCAAUACCAUUGUUACACCCACAACCCCUACUGCUACAUAUACUGGACCAAUUACUAGAGCUCACACAUGUCAAUUAAAUUAUCAGGUACUUUCGUUUCUUAGUAAUGAUUCUAAUAUUCAUGAGAAUAUGAUGCUGUCUAAAUUGGAUACAUUUGUUUUGCUUACAAAUGAAGGGCCUGACAUGGAUAAGAGGGAUGAACACUGGAGCAAGACCAAGCAUGGAGAUGAUGGCAUGCGCAAGGGGAACAAGAACGAAGUUACAAGUGAUGAUUUCAGGACUUUGAAGCCACUAUAAUGAGUGCAUGAAGCCUUGGAUGAAAUAUACAAGAUGCCACUUCAUAAAUUUCGUCCAGAGACUAUUCUAGGUGCUGCAUCACCUUAUUAUUGGGUCAGGCCCAUGUAAUUUUGAAAUACUUAAGUAUAGGCUAUUUUUAGAGUCCGUUUGUGUGGGGAAACAAGAGUUAGGGUUGGUUUUGGAACCCUCCUCCAAGGGCCAUGAAAUUCCCCCUCUUCCUCCAUAUAUACAACCCUUAGGGCGUCGUUUAGACUUUGGGUAUUGUUUAGAUUAAAAGUUCGCCAUAGCUGCAACUUCGCGUACUUCGUUUGUGUUCAACGACCAGACCAAGGCGUCACAGAACCCCACCUUGAUCAAUAAAGCUUUCAUCUUAUAUUCGCAAUAUCUAGAUUGCAAUCUUAGUUUCUUGCUUGUUCUUCAUUUGCUUGCAGGAAAUAGACCUUCAUGGUCAUGUUGAUCGUGCUCCGGCGUGGUCAAUAACCUCUCGGAGUUGGCUUAGCGAUUGCUAAGGCGUGACGUCCUCACAUAUUCGUAGUCGGAUCGUCAACGUCUACUCCACCAUAAACGAUAGCCGCCAUUUCAUCGAAAGAUGGGACGCCUUCGCCUCUAUCAGGAGAUGGUCGUGAGGUGGAGCUCCAUCAAUGGCUACCUACCGUGAGAGAGGUUGCACUUUAGUCACGCCAGAGAGCAGGAAACAACUUCGAUGGGAAGGGGUGCAAGGCACCGGGGCUCACGACGGGCAUCGGGGAGGUCGAGCGACGGGUGGGGCAACUGGGCUCGGAUGAGGACAUGGGCUACAUCGGCAGCGUUGAGCAGCUAGGAUGGCAAUGGAGGCAGGAUGGCAAGAGCACGCAUGGCCACCUUCAGGCGCUCCAUAGCCACGACCGGUCACCACCAACAGGGACCCGAUCAAGGGACCGGAUUGCUUUUUUUCGCAAGGACCUGAUUACUUUUUAAAGAGUAGUACAUGGACCCAAUUGCUUUUAUUUUUUUGUAGGGACUAGAUUGCAUUUAGAAAAUAUGUGGGCCCCACAUGUCAUAACCCGUCAACGAUCAACUUAAUGGUCAAAGCUAACUGAUUUAGGGCCAACCUGAAGAGGGGUCCCGAGCUGUCAUAAUCACACUUAAAAGUUAACCAACAUAGUUAUCAUUAAGUCAUUGGUGUUUUUUGGAACAACCAACCAAUUUUAUGGUAGCUUUUUAGAAAAUUGGAGAAAGUGGUAGUUUUUCGGAACCCUAGCAUCAAAUAUGAUAGCUUUAUGUUGUUUACUCGAUUUAAAUCCAUCCAAAGCUAUAACAAGCACGACCGGAAAAUUAGAUUUGCUAGAAAAGCAAAUCCAUAAAUAAUUUGAAUCCAAUCAAAAUAGAGCUCCUUAUCCUGAUGCAUAUGUUUAUUUUGUUCACUUAGUACGAGCGUACAUGUGUUUUUUUUAACACAGUACAAACCCAUGUCAUCUUGAGAUUUUACGAAGUUAUUGUAGAUACCACGUAGUCAACGAAAAUAUCUCCUUCCACAUGUUGGAGAUAUCAGAGUUUUAAAAUAAAUUCAGGAUAAAUGCAAGCAUCAGGAUUUGAAUCCUGAUGGAUUGGAGAUACCACUGUCCUCCUACAUAUUCAACCACAUAUUGGUUCGCUGAGCGCACAUGUGCUGUUGGUUUCUCAUAUGCACUUGUCACAAAAUAAAAUAAUCUCACCUGCACUGAAUAUUUUAAAUAAUACUCCUUUCGUCUGAAAAUAUUUAUCAUCAAAAUAGAUAAAAAGAGAUAUAUUUAGAACUAAAAUACGUCUAGAUAUAUCUUCUUUUAUUCAUUUUGAUGACAAGUAUUUCCGGACGGAGCGCUACAAGGACAGUGCAUUUUUAGAAACAGAGUAUAACCAGUGAGAAUAUAUUUAACUUCGCACCAGUUGGUCGUCAUCUUCAGCGCGAGAGACAGCACACUCUCUCUUCUAUCUAUCCCCUGAGUCCCUGACCUUCCCUUUCGAGCCAUCGCAUCGUCAUCGUCUCAGCGCCUUGCUCAAGUAUCCUCCUCUGUAAAUCGAGCCGCUCCCAUCUUUUUAUCCUCCCACUCCCAAAGUCGGAAACAAUGUCUCCAUUAACCGCAUAGCCGCGAGGCUAGCUAUCGGACGAGCUGCCCAAACGGACGCGGCCGCCUAGUCCAGGCCUGUCUCCGACCACCGCGCCGUCGCCAUGGCCUCGGGAAGCCGCGCCACGCCCACGCGCUCCCCCUCCUCCGCGCGGCCCGCCGCGCCGCACCAGAAUCACACGCAGUCCUCGGGCGGGAGCACCUCCCGCGCGGGAGGGGGAGGGGGAGGCGCGGCCGGGAGCGCGGCCGCCACGGAGUCGGUCUCCAAGGCCGUGGCGCAGUACACCCUGGACGCCGGCCUCCACGCGGUGUUCGAGCAGUCGGGCGCGUCGGGGCGCAGCUUCGACUACUCUCAGUCGCUGCUCGCGCCGCCCACUCCCUCCUCCGAGCAGCAGAUCGCCGCCUACCUCUCCCGCAUCCAGCGCGGCGGCCACAUCCAGCCCUUCGGCUGCACGCUCGCCGUCGCCGACGACUCCUCCUUCCGCCUCCUCGCCUUCUCCGAGAACGCCGCCGACCUGCUCGACCUAUCGCCUCACCACUCCGUCCCGUCGCUCGACUCCUCCGCGGCGCCUCCCCCCGUUUCUCUCGGCGCCGACGCGCGCCUCCUCUUCUCUCCCUCCUCCGGCGUCCUCCUUGAGCGCGCCUUCGCCGCACGGGAGAUCUCGCUGCUCAACCCGCUCUGGAUCCACUCCAGGGUCUCAUCCAAGCCCUUCUACGCCAUCCUCCACCGCAUCGACGUCGGCGUCGUCAUCGACCUCGAGCCCGCCCGCACCGAGGACCCCGCCCUCUCCAUCGCUGGCGCAGUUCAGUCCCAGAAGCUCGCCGUCCGCGCCAUCUCCCGUCUCCAGGCGCUCCCUGGCGGGGACGUCAAGCUCCUCUGCGACACCGUCGUGGAGCACGUCCGUGAGCUCACGGGCUAUGACCGCGUCAUGGUGUACAAAUUCCACGAUGAUGAGCAUGGGGAAGUCCUCGCCGAGAGCCGGCGUGGUGACCUCGAGCCCUACCUCGGUUUGCAUUAUCCUGCCACUGAUAUCCCGCAGGCAUCACGCUUCCUGUUCCGGCAAAACCGUGUGCGGAUGAUUGCUGAUUGCCACGCAGCUGCGGUGAGGGUCAUCCAGGACCCUGCAAUGCCACAGCCGCUGUGCUUAGUUGGGUCGACUCUUCGCUCCCCACAUGGGUGCCAUGCGCAGUACAUGGCAAACAUGGGGUCGAUUGCAUCUCUCGUCAUGGCAGUGAUCAUCAGUAGCGGUGGGGAAGAUGAGCACAACAUGACGCGGGGCGUCAUCCCGUCGGCGAUGAAGUUGUGGGGGUUAGUGGUGUGCCACCACACAUCUCCACGGUGCAUCCCUUUCCCACUGCGGUAUGCAUGUGAGUUCCUCAUGCAGGCCUUUGGGCUGCAACUCAACAUGGAGCUGCAGCUUGCGCACCAACUAUCAGAGAAACAUAUUCUCAGAACACAGACGUUACUGUGCGACAUGCUACUCCGGGAUUCACCUACUGGCAUUGUCACACAGAGCCCAAGCAUAAUGGACCUUGUGAAGUGUGAUGGUGCUGCACUGUUUUACCACGGGAAGUACUACCCACUUGGUGUCACCCCCACAGAGGCUCAGAUUAAGGAUAUCAUCGAGUGGUUGACGGUGUGCCAUGGAGACUCCACAGGGCUCAGCACAGAUAGCUUGGCUGAUGCAGGCUACCCCGGUGCUACUGCAUUAGGGGAUGCAGUGUGCGGAAUGGCAGUAGCUUAUAUCACGCCGAGUGAUUAUUUGUUUUGGUUCCGGUCACACACAGCCAAGGAGAUAAAAUGGGGUGGUGCAAAGCAUCAUCCGGAGGAUAAGGAUGAUGGGCAGCGGAUGCACCCACGAUCAUCAUUCAAGGCAUUUCUUGAAGUGGUGAAGAGUAGGAGCUUACCUUGGGAGAAUGCUGAGAUGGAUGCAAUACAUUCCUUGCAGCUCAUAUUGCGGGACUCCUUCAGAGAUGCAGGAGAGGGCACUAGUAACUCAAAAGCCAUUGUCAAUGGUCAGGUUCAGCUUGGGGAACUAGAGUUGCGGGGAAUAGAUGAGCUGAGUUCAGUAGCAAGGGAGAUGGUUCGGUUGAUCGAGACGGCUACAGUACCCAUCUUUGCAGUUGAUACUUAUGGAUGUAUAAAUGGGUGGAAUGCAAAGGUUGCUGAGUUGACUGGCCUCACAGUUGAAGAAGCUAUGGGCAAAUCAUUAGUUAAAGAUCUUAUCUUCAAGGAAUCUGAAGAAAUAGUUGAGAAGCUACUCUCGCAAGCUUUAAAAGGUAUUCCUGACUACAAGUCCUGCUAAUUUGGUUGUUCUUUCCUCGAUUUAUGUUUCUGGACGUAUCAUUUACACACUAUUGCUUACCAGAUAAUUUCAGGCAUUCACAUGAAAGUAUCUUACAAUUAGUAUAUAAGUAUGCUCAAAUUGAAAAUAUGUCAAAUUUAUCAUCAAAGAUUGGAGUAGUUAACCCGAAGUAAAUGUCAUUAUUCGUACUGUUUAUAGUAUUAUAAAUUACCUGGUCUAUACACAGUCAACCUGCCUUAUAAUUAAUGGAAAAUGGUGGGAUUGGAUAGUGAUGGUUUAUGGACUUGUUUCUCAUCCAGGUGAAGAAGGCACAAAUGUAGAGAUUAAGUUGAAGACAUUUGGGUCAGAGCAAUCUAAAGGACCAAUUUUUGUUAUUGUCAACGCCUGCUCUAGUAGGGAUUACACCAAAAGUAUUGUUGGUGUUUGUUUUGUCGGCCAAGAUAUCACAGGGCAAAAGGUGGUCAUGGAUAAAUUUGUCAACAUACAAGGGGAUUACAAGGCUAUUGUACACAAUCCCAAUCCUCUAAUACCGCCAAUAUUUGCUUCAGAUGAGAACAUAUGUUGCUCCGAAUGGAAUACGGCGAUGGAAAAACUCACAGGAUGGUCGAGAGGAGAAGUUGUUGGUAAGCUUCUGGUUGGGGAGGUAUUUGGAAAUUGUUGCCGACUUAAGGGCCCAGAUGCACUGACAAAGUUCAUGAUUGUCCUUCACAACGCUAUAGGAGGGCAGGAUUCUGAGAAGUCCCCCUUUUCAUUCUUUGACAAGAAUGGUAAAUAUGUACAGGCCUUGUUGACUGCAAACACAAGGAGCAAAAUGGAUGGUGAGACCAUAGGUGCCUUCUGCUUCUUGCAGAUUGCAAGCCCUGAAUUACAGCAAGCCUUUGAGAUUCAGAGACAACAAGAAAAGAAGUGUUAUGCCAGGAUGAAGGAGUUGGCUUACAUUUGCCAGGAGAUAAAAAACCCUCUCAGUGGUAUACGGUUUACAAACUCCCUGUUAGAGAUGACUGAUUUAAAGGAUGACCAGAGGCAGUUUCUUGAAACUAGCGCUGCUUGUGAGAAGCAGAUGUCCAAGAUUGUAAAGGAUGCCAGCCUCCAAAGUAUUGAGGACGGGUCAGUAUUCUGAUAUUAUUAUUAUUAUUAUUAUUAUUAUUAUUAUUAUUAUUAUUAUUAUGAGUGUGAUGCCUUUUCCUUCCACAAGAUGUGCUUGGACUCUGAAUAGUUUGAACGGCAGCUGGCACUAAUUUUGUUUGAUUAAGCAUGUAAGAAAGAUAAGGGAUUAGAGAAGUAAGUACAUCAGACACUGAUAGCUCCAAUCCCUGUCUUGGCACCUCUCUAGAGUGUAAUUCUUUCUGUGCACAUCAACCCUUCAUGACAGUUGCAUUUUUUCCAUCCUUGCCUCCUUGGCAUCUAUCUCACUGUACACUCGCUUUGUCUGGGCAACAUUCAAAACACGUUGGUGGUACUGCCUGGAUUCUCAACAUUGCUACAUCAAAUACCACACUAGGAAUCUAGGAUCAUGUCAAAACUAAAGGAAUAUCCUUAUGCAUUUAUCACAUCCUACAAAACCUUAAAGUGAACUUCACAGCCCACGUAACCUCAACCUGUGCAAGAAGUUUGUGCCAAGCAUAUAUCCGUGGUAGUAUAAUACUAGCAUCCUAGUAUAAACUUGGUAACCAUGUUUGCAGAUGUUGCAAUUCAUCUGCUUGCUUAAAAUUUCAGAUACUUUUGGUUGCCUUGCACAGCUGGUCAAUCAUCUCAGCUUUUAUUGAUGGACAAUAAAUCUGUACCACUUUUACCCCAAGGACGCUCCAACUCAUGUUAUGCAAAAUCUCCCAUAUCAUUUUGCGAAGUUUAAACAUAAAGGAAUCUGAAUAUCCUUUUGAAUACGAACUCACAGCUUUGUGCAGACUAUCUUUUUUUCAUGUGUUAUUAUGUACUCUGUGAUUUCAUAUGGAUUCACUGGUGUGUAGACAGAAGCAUUAUCUCACCUUUUCCAUGAUCUAUGACAGUUUACCUCUCUGUUAAGUACUUUAGCAAUUUAUUAUCCAAAAAUUUAUUUGUUCUGUUUUGGCUUAUUUUACAGCUCUUUGGUGCUUGAGAAAGGUGAAUUUUCACUUGGAAAUGUUAUGAACGCUGUUGUCAGCCAAGUGAUGAUAUUGCUAAGAGAAAGAGAUUUGCAACUUAUUCGAGAUAUCCCUGAUGAAAUAAAAGAAGCCUCGGCAUAUGGUGACCAAUAUAGAAUCCAGCAAGUUUUGUCUGACUUUUUGCUUAGCAUGGUCCGGUUUGCUCCAACUGAAAAUGGCUGGGUGGAGAUACAAGUCAGACCAAACGUAAAACAAAAUUCUGAUGGAACGGAAACAAUGCUCUUCCUCUUCAGGUUAGCUGCUUUCCUGUCUCUUUGCAAUAUACAUGAAGAUGAUAUAUUACAUUACUUUAGAGGAAUGCCUUUGCUUGAACUUGAUUGAAAGCAAGAUAACGAUUGCUUAAAUUUUUAUUGGUCAUGUGUGGUAUAACCGUGCCUUGUUACAUGUGGUUAUCAUGAACUAUUCAUGAUUUAUAUAAGUACUAGGAAAGUAUGAAUACUAUCAUAAUCAUUGUAAUUGUUGUUUGUUAUACAAUAAUUGCCAUGGCAUGAAUAUGCUAGUUUUUAAUAGGGCAACCUGACUGGAUGUACACCUGACGCUGAUCACAUUGCUUCUAUUUUUCUCAUGAAAACAUAAAAUACAAAUGAAGCUCCCAACUAACACAAAAGUAACAACAGUAUUUGACAGAUUGUCUUUAGAGAAGGGGAAAAGGUUAAAUGUAAGGAAUGAGAUGUGGCAUCACCGUAGCGUUAUGGCCGUCGGUGAACUAGCCAGUAGGAGAUAGGCGAAGGUAUUGGAUAGGUUAUGUUAGAGGUAGGAAGUUUAAGAGAAGGAAUAAAUCAAGUAUUAAGCAUCCUUGUUGGAUACUACUGGGUCUGUUAUAAAGUGUCUGGCUAAAUUAGUAAUAGUCCAGUUGAACUAGGAAGGUAGAUUUAUGGUCCGGUCUAGAGUUUGAAUUCAGAUCUGACUUGUAGAUCAAGUUGGUCGUUCUAUAUAAAGUACUAGUGUCUCUCAAUCUGUUAUCUCCCUUGUCCAUCAUCUCUAACCAGUGUUUUACUCCCCAGUCCCCUACGCCGUGCCAUCCUUCUGUUUUUAAGGGGGAGACGGAGGGAGUAGUUAUCAAUCUAUUAUCUCCCUUGAUCAUCCUCCCUAACCAGUGUUUUACUCCCCGAUCCCCUACGCUGUGCUGUCCAGCCUUCAUGGCGGUAGACCGGUACUGACUCAGCUUAUGCCACGUAGACGCAAGCGUAUUCAGCUUUUCAGGAGACAUACUGUACAUAAUUUGUAGCCAGUGUGCAUGCGAAUUCAGGUCACCUGGAAGUCACACAAUUUCAUGGUGCAAUGGACUCCUAUUCAAUGACUCAGUAGUGCAAAAGAUGGUGUUGAACAUUUAAUCAGAAUCAACCCAGCGCAUUUUGUAAUAGCAGUCAUGGGGAUUGGUUUUCCUAACAAAUGGAUGCAAAUACAGUGUGAUUUAAGGUUAAGGGUCCAACUUCAAAUUUGAGCCUUCUGAUUAGAAAGAUGAGGGCCAGGGUGUUAUGGAUCUGUGAAACUCAUGUUUUUUAGGCAUCCAUACAUCAGCUGUGUGUUUGUUUCUUCAAGUAUUUGUUGUUUGGUUGCAUAUAUGUGAUAAAAGAGAUGUAUCAAGCUGGCAUGCGUAAAUACCGCUGUUCGCGUGCAGAAGCGUGUAAAGAUUUGGAGAGCUAUUUAACAGAUUAGAAGGAUUCAGAUUUGAUUUCUGUCAUUCAUGUUUUUUAACUUAUUCAUGCAUUAUUUUGUUUCUAGUGAGAGCAAAAGAGAUAAAGGGAAGGCAAAUUGAGUCUUAAUACUGCACGAUUCACAUCCAUCCGCGGGUCACAUGAUGUCAAGCCACAUCAUAUCUUUUUGGCACUUCUUGUGCCUCAUGCCACAAAUAGUGUCAUAUUUUAGGAAGACUUCAUUAUAUUAUACUCCCUCCAUCCCACAAUAUAAGACGUUUUUGCAAGCUAUGUUAGCUUGCAAUCCUCCGUCCCACAAUGUAAGACGUUUUUGCAAGCUAACAUGCAAAAGCGUCUUACAUUGUGGGACGGAGGGAUUAUUAGGAAGAUUACAAAGCUAUAUACGAGCUAACAAAUAGCGCCAUAGUUUAGAAAGCUAGCUUCAUUACAUUAUAUUAGAAAGGUUAUUAAGUUAUAUAUACGUGGCCAUGGAUUUAGCAUGGGUCUAUGAGUCACGCGAUCAAUGUUUGUUGAUUCCAUCCAGUGCCCAUGGUUGGUUAAUCAUAGCAAGGGUUGAUCAACGGCUGGGUGUUUUGCUUGUUUGUAGGAAUUUUUAGCAUGUUUUCGUGUUUGUCAUUGGAUUUAUUAUGUACCCCCUCCGUCCUAUAAUGUAAGAUGUCAUUACAACCAAUGUAUUCAUAUAUUGGUUGUAAUAAUAUCUUAUAUCAUGGGCGGAGGGAGUAGUACAUAUAUCUCUCGGUGUAGCAUGCAUCUUUGUUGUAUUCACUGCCACAUGCUGUUCUCGUUUGGUUUUAUCAGCUUCAGUGUUGUCUUUUGACUCAUGAGCAGUAGGAUCAAAUGAUCAUCUUCUGUAAAUCAUGUUAUUACAAAAUUCUACUUCUGUUGCAAUAUACUCGGUGUCAAAAAACGUCUUAUAUUUUGAUAUAGAGGGAGUAGUUUUGAAUAAAUAAAUGCGCAAACAUUCUACUUGAUGGUUUGGGGGAGAUUUUAUUGUAAAUGGUGGUUAUAAUGGGCUUGGUGACACAAAUAGUGCUUAAAAGUUCAAUCUCUUGUGUUGGUACAAAUUUCAAUAGAGUAACUCCUGCUGGACCUUGAUUGCCUUUCAUCUAUGUGUGUUUCUCCAGAUUUGCCUGUCCUGGUGAGGGCCUCCCCCCUGACAUUGUCCAAGAUAUGUUCAGUAACGCCCGUUGGACGACCCAAGAAGGCAUUGGACUAAGCGUAUGCAGGAAAAUCCUCAAAUUGAUGGGUGGUGAGGUGCAGUACAUCAGAGAGUCAGAGCGGAGUUUCUUCCUCAUUGUGCUUGAGCUACCCCAGCCUCUGCGAUCAGAAAGUAGGGAUCGGAGCUGAUAUGGCAAGCUGAAAGCUGACCUCGCCUAACUGUUCGGUCAGCCAGGUGACUUGAGAUUCCCGGAUAGGAGGGAGCCUAGUUCGUGAGAAGCCCGCAAAAUCAAUAUGAGCACGCCGGGAGCUGCAAAUGUGAUUCCCGGCCAUUCCUGGCACGCCGACUGUACGCGAAGUGUUAUUCGAUUAGAGUUUCAUGGCGGCGAGCACUGAACAUGAACACUGACGGUAAUGUAGCUGGUAGCAUAGGCCCAUGACUACUUGGAUAAAGUAAAUACGAUGUUCUUAGCCGCUAUGUAUAUAUACAUGAGAAUAUCUCUUGUAUUAUGGAUAAGGAGAGCUGUACAGCUCCCACGAUUGUAUUCUGAUACGUAUACUUUUGUCACAGUCUCUUGCCAUGAACUAUUUCUAUUCAU